rnacentral:rRNA from 1 species
UACGUAGGGUCCGAGCGUUGUCCGGAAUUACUGGGCGUAAAGCGUGCGCAGGCGGUUUGUAAGUCAGAUGUGAAAUCCCCGGGCUCAACCUGGGAACUGCGUUUGAAACUACAAGGCUAGAGUGUAGCAGAGGGGGUAGAAUUCCACGUGUAGCAGUGAAAUGCGUAGAGAUGUGGAGGAAUACCAAUGGCGAAGGCAGCCCCCUGGGUUAACACUGACGCUCAUGCACGAAAGCGUGGGGAGCAAACGAGG